GAUCCACCUUUCUUUAUUUUCAAACUCACAGGAGCUGGGACCAUACACAUAUUGGAAAGAAACAUACCUUUUCCAAGCCAGUUUUAUGAAUCGGGAGCCACUGAUUGGAAACUCACUUUGAUAAGAGUGCCCCUUGGUACACCCUACAAACCAAUUAAUGAGAGACCACGUCAUGCAGUAUCAUUACAUACAUUGAUAACACAUAAAGAUUAUUCACUAAAGAGAAUCUGAG